CGAAGGGUGCAAGCGUUACUCGGAAUUACUGGGCGUAAAGCGUGCGUAGGUGGUGCGUUAAGUCUGUCGUGAAAGCCCCGGGCUCAACCUGGGAAUGGCGAUGGAUACUGGCGCGCUAGAGUGCGGUAGAGGAGAGUGGAAUUCCCGGUGUAGCAGUGAAAUGCGUAGAGAUCGGGAGGAACAUCAGUUGCGAAGGCGGCUCUCUGGACCAGCACUGACACUGAGGCACGAAAGCGUGGGGGAGCAAACAGGAUUAGAUACCCUGGUAGUCCACGCCCUAAACGAUGCGAACUGGACGUUGGGAGCAAUUAGGCUCUCAGUGUCGAAGCUAACGCGUUAAGUUCGCCGCCUGGGGAGUACGGUCGCAAGACUG
rnacentral:rRNA from 1 species